rnacentral:other from 1 species
AGAAUUCUGAGGUGUACGCGAUGCCAAACUACGUGUUGACCGAACAUUGUAUUAAAACACUGGGAUUCAAAAGGGAAAAUUGAUGACAUGCCUUAUCACUUGGAAGUCAGAUAUUUUUCUGGUGAAACCCACCUGCUACUUGCGGGUUCAACCUAAACUGGCGUUCUACCGGCACCAUCGGAUUUCUU